rnacentral:rRNA from 1 species
AUUUGUCUUUUAAAUGAAGACUAGAACAAAAGAUCUAACAUUCUAAUUCUUUUAUUUAUUUUCAUAAUUCAAUUUAUUCUAAAUGUAAAAAAACAUUUAUUUCCAAGAAAGACGACAAGACCCUAUUGAACUUUACUUAAGUUAAACUGGGGCAGUUAAAUUAAUUAUUAUUUUAAUUUAAUUAUAAAUUAAAAUAUCCUAUACAAUAGAAUAAUCCAGUUACCAUAGGGAUAACAGCGCAAUUUUCUUUUAAAGAACUUAUAUAAAAGACAGAUUACGACCUCGAUGUUGAAUUAAUAACCUAAUUAAAGCAAAUUUUAAAUACAAAGGAAGUCUGUUCGACUUUUCAACAAUUACAUGAUUUGAGUUCAGACCGGUAUAAGCCAGGUCGGCUUCUAUCUUCUACAAUAAUUUUUUUACAGUACGAAAGGACCUAAUAAUUUUAAUUAUUUAUUUAAUUGGCAGAAAAAUGCAUUAGAAUUAGAAUCUAAUAAAACUAAU